UGGAGCAUGUGUUAAUUCGAAGCAACGCGAAGAACCUUACCAGGUCUUGACAUCCCGAUGCUAUUUCUAGAGAUAGAAAGUUACUUCGGUACAUCGGUGACAGGUGGUGCAUGGUUGUCGUCAGCUCGUGUCGUGAGAUGUUGGGUUAAGUCCCGCAACGAGCGCAACCCCUAUUGUUAGUUGCCAUCAUUCAGUUGGGCACUCUAGCGAGACUGCCGGUAAUAAACCGGAGGAAGUGGGGAUGACGUCAAAUCAUCAUGCCCCUUAUGACCUGGGCUACACACGUGCUACAAUGGGCGGUACAAAGGGUUGCUAGUCCGCGAGGAGGAGCUAAUCCCAAAAAGCCGCUCUCAGUUCGGAUCGGAGUCUGCAACUCGACUCUGUGAAGUUGGAAUCGCUAGUAAUCGUGGAUCAGCAUGCCACGGUGAAUACGUUCCCGGGCCUU
rnacentral:rRNA from 1 species